CCUACGGGUGGCAGCAGUGAGGAAUAUUGGUCAAUGGACGAGAGUCUGAACCAGCCAAGUAGCGUGAAGGAAGACUGCCCUAUGGGUUGUAAACUUAUAUUAUAAAGGAAUAAAACGAGGCACGUGUGCCUUUUCGCAUGUACUUUAUGAAUAAGGAUCGGCUAACUCCGAGCCAGCAGCCGCUGUAAUACGGAGGAUCCGAGUGUUAUCCGGAUUUAAUGGGUUUAAAGGGAGCGUAGAUGGGUUGUUAAGUCAAUUGUGAAAGUUUGCGGCUCAACCGUAAAAUUGCAAUGGAUACUGGCAGUCUUGAGGACAGUUGAGGUAGGCGGAAUACGUGGUGUAGCGGUGAAAUGCU
rnacentral:rRNA from 1 species